rnacentral:rRNA from 1 species
CAGGCCUAACACAUGCAAGUCGAACGCACCGCGAGGUGAGUGGCAGACGGGUGAGUAACACGUGGGAACGUACCCUUCGGUUCGGAACAACCCUGGGAAACUAGGGCUAAUACCGGAUACGCGCGAGAGCGGAAAGGUUUACCGCCGAAGGAUCGGCCCGCGUCUGAUUAGCUAGUUGGUGUUGGUAACGGCUCACCAAGGCGACGAUCGGUAGCUGGUCUGAGAGGAUGGCCAGCCACAUUGGGACUGAGACACGGCCCAAACUCCUACGGGAGGCAGCAGUGGGGAAUAUUGGACAAUGGGCGCAAGCCUGAUCCAGCCAUGCCGCGUGAGUGAUGACGGCCUUAGGGUUGUAAAGCUCUUUUACCUGGGAAGAUAAUGACGGUACCAGGAGAAUAAGCCCCGGCUAACUUCGUGCCAGCAGCCGCGGUAAU